rnacentral:lncRNA from 1 species
GGCAAGCUGCUGCUGGGAAGUGGUGGAAGAAUAGUGAUAAGCUUAGGCUAAGAUGGUGGGAUUGUUGGUAGCUUUGGGAUUCAAGGCAAUAUAGGAGGAAGUGGUGGAAUUGGUACGCUGGGAAGUGGUGGAAGAAUGGGGGUAGGGUUAGGAAGUGGUGGAAUUGGUACUGGUACUCUAGGAAGUGGUGGAAGACUGGGGGUAAGGUUAGGAAGUGGUGGAAUUGGUAAUCUGGGAAGUGGUGGAAUUGGGAAUCCAGGAAGUGGUGGAAGAAUGGGGGGAAGUGGUGGAAUUGGUGGAAUUGGUGGAAUUGGUGGAAUAGUUACUUGCUGAAGAUUUCGAGCUGCUAGGCUAACCUCCAUGCUUGAAAAACCCAACAAAAUGAAACAAGCUAAUAAAAUGAAAACGUUGGAACCUGCCAUUUUUUUUGGAGAGAUGAACUAAAGAUUGAAGAUUUGAGUUGAGGUUUGCAUUGAGGAAAGCAGGAUUGCUUUUCAGGUAUUUAUAGCCACAUUUGAAAGACUUAAUUAAUUAUUUGUUUGAGAUAUUAUUCCCCUACUUAGCAUACUACCUUUUCUCACCCAUCUGUCAUCACCAACAAAAAGAAGAAGAAGAUAAAUUAGACUCAUCCUUAAACUUAAAAAUAUUCUGAAUGAGUCGAUUUGUCUAAUGUUAGUUAAAAAUUAAAUGCUUUUAAAUUUUGUGUGAACUAUAUCUUUCUAUUUCCAUUUACCUAAUGCCAGUUAAAAAAUAAAUAUUUUUUUAUAUAAUGAGUGUAUAUUUGACUUACGUAUGUGGCGCUCUAUUAAAAAAAAAAUUAAAUUAGGUGGAUCAAAUUUAAAUAUUAGAUAACUAUACAUGUUGGUACUUAAACUUGGUAUUUAAGAUUUUUUGUUGUCCAAUUAAAGGUUGAAUUUAAAUUAGAUAGUUGAACUUGAUUUCUUAGUUCAAAUUCCAAGCUUAGAUACCAAAAUGUUUGGUAUAAUAUUAAAUUAAAAAAAUUCAAGAUGUAAAAUACUAAUUUAACAUUUAAACUAGUUGCCCCAUACAGCUACAAUGGUAAUGAUAGAAGAAAAGUAAUUGAAUGGGAUUAGGAGAUGAAGAUCCUAGUAAAGCCACCUCUAGAGGUAUGAGAGUUGCGACCACUCUAUAAUUGAAUGCUACAAAAAUGGUUAUAUCUAGGAAUCUUUCGCCAUUAGCUAAUAAUGGAAAUAGCUAUGUAUCACUUAAAAAACAACAAUUCAUAUUUUCUUGAAAUAUAUUCAAAAAAUUGAAAAAUAUAAAAAAUAUCAUUUUUCUAAAAAUCCAAAAAUUUUAUGUGAAUAUCAACAAAUUCAGAAACUAAAAGAUAUGGAAAGCUUUAAAGUUUUUCCAAAAAGAUAGAAAUUUGCAGAAAAUUAGGUAUUUAAGAUUCCAAUAUUUUUAUUUCCCUUCUUUCCUGAUUGGAGAAAAUAUGAAUUAGGUGACGCCAUCGUUAACAAUUGGGGCAAGGUAAGACACGGUUGGAAACUUCAAGUAGGUGUAAUUUUGGGGAAAUAUUACAUUGUUUAAUAAUGAAUAUUGACAUGAUUUACCCUGAGUUAAAUCAAUUAUAUUUUACUUAUAUUUUCUAUACAAAUUUUAUACAAGCCUAAAUUAAUCAUAUUCAAUCAUAUCAAUCUCAAUAUUUUGAAUAAGAUAAUAAUAUUUUCUUAAAACUAUAACUAUAUAAAGUAUUGUAAAAAUAAUUAUUCAAUUAUACAGCUAUUUUAUUUGUAUAAUUAUAAUUAACAUAACCUUCUCCAUCAUAUAAUUAAAAUUUGUUCAACUUAUAAUUACAACAACUUUCCGUGAAGAAAAGAGAGAGACACAAAUACAAACUAAUGAGAUUAAAUAAAUCUCAAAUAUAAAAUAUUCUUCAAUAAACAUCAUUAAUCAAUCUCAAAAGAAACAAGAAAAGAAAUUCAUAAAUUAAACAAUAAGAAUAUAAUAUAACAAUCCAUUAUUUAAUAAAUUCAAAAAAAAAAAUCACAUUUAUAUUUUAAAUUUUAUUGGUCUAAUUUUAGAUAGGUUUAUAAACUUCAAAUGAUUUAAAAUAUUAGUGUCACGCCCCUAAAUAUAGGAAGGUUCAUUGAAAUGAAUAAAUAAGAAAUGUGUUGACACCAUUUUUUUGAUGAAAACGGGGUUGACUUGGAUUUUGAAAAUGAAAAUUAAAAUGACAGUCGCCACCAAUCCUUUUUGAUAAGGUGUGAUCGGAUCACCUUGAAAAGUGGUUGUUUUUAAUAAACGAUUUAAUUUUAUUAAAACAACGAGUUUGGUCCACGAAAUUCAGAAAAAUGGGUUCGGGAGUCGGUUACGUACGAGGAAGGAUUAGCGCCCUCGUGACGCCCAAAAAUUGGUACCUAGUUGAUUAGUUAAUGUCUUAAUGUCAAAAAUUGUAAACUUUGAAGAAUUUUAAAAAUACGAUCCUUAAUUUUUUUAAAAAGAAAACUUAUAUAAAUCAAGUUACUCGUUAAGACCCUCCCAUUUCAGAAAGAGAAAACGUCACGCCCAAUGCGUUAGGGCACGAUAUUUUACCUCUUCAGAAAUGAGCUUGUCUAAAAACUUACACAAUAAAAUUUUAAAGGGCAUUCAAUUGUUUAAGUCAUGUGAAAAAUUGCAACCCAAUACAUUAGGGCACAAUUUCUCAAAAUAUUAAACAUUGAAUAUUGCAUUUAUUUUGAAAAAUCCUCAUAUCCAAUGCGUUACGGCACAACGUACUGAAUUCUCGAUAAUGAGCUAUUUAUUUAUGUUUUUGUUUUAAAGAGCACCCUCGAUUAUUUAGAUCCAACGAAGAAAAUUGGAACCAAUACGUUAGGGUUCAAUUCUCUCGAAGAUCCCAAAUACCGAGUAUUACUUUUAUUUUGAAAUUUUCCGUUUUUGAUAAAUCCGAGUAAAAAUGGAUGCAAAAUAAUGAUAAUGAUGAUAAUGUAAGUAAAAUAACACGAGCAAAACAAAAUAUAAAUAAAUAAUAAGACUAAUAUAAAUACAAUCGUGCAGGCGCAAUAACAAAUAAGAAACAGAUAAAAACUAAAGCAAGAAAAAUAAUAAUAACAUACAUGUAAAUAAAUAACUGAACAAAAUUAACAAAAUUAAAAAAAAUAUAAAAGAUAUAUUUAUACAUAUAUAUGUAUAAAAUUAUGAAAAUAUUAAAAACAUAUGCAUGUACACAUUUUUGAAGCUAUUAUACAUGAAAAUAUAUGUAAGUAUAUAUGCACAUACAUGAAUACGUAUAGAACCAUCAUCAAAUAUAUAAAAGUAUAUAUAUAUAUAUGUAGGUAUAUAUGAAUCACAAAAUUUAAAGAAUAAUAUAUAUAAGAUAUAUAUUUUGGAAGUAUAAAGAAUAUGUAAGAAUUUAUAUAUACAUACAUUUAUAUAUGAAAAUGAAAUAUAUAGAUAUGUAUGUGGGUAUGUAUAAAUAUUAUAAAAUAUAAAAACAUAUAUGUGUACGCAUAUAUAUAAAAAUAUACAUAUGUAUAUAUACAUAUAUAUUAUGAAAAUAAAGCUAAAAAAAAACUAGUUAGUGUAUUAACAUAAUUGUAACGACUAAAUAAAGGAAAAUAAUAAUAAUAAUAAUAAUAAUAAUAAUAAUAACAUUAAAAUAAUUAACUAAAUAAUAAAAAUUGCUAAAAAAAGAUUAAAUCGAAAUAAAAACGAAAAUACUGGGCAAAUUCGAAAUAAAAAAAACGAAAAGGAUUAAAUUGCUACACGCAUCGAAAGAGGGAGACCAAAACGAUAAAUAAACCAAAGCCCCAAAACGCAGCGCUGCAACGGACUAAAAUGAAACAAAAGGAAAACUAUGUGGCUAAAUUAAAAUAAAAGAAAAUAAUGAAAAAGGGCCAAAUUGCAACUCGUUGCAAAGUCGGAGUGACUACGCGCGCAAAUAUCCCCUUUUAAGAAAACACGCGGAUCCUCCCCCAGGGUCGGGUCACCGAGCGGGUCAGGGCCAAAAUGGCGUCGUUUUGGCACCUGACCCUAAUGACAAAACGGCGCCAUUUCGUUUAGGGUAUUUAAACCUAAUUUUUCCCAAAAAACCUAAUUUCAGCCACCAUUUAAAAAAAAUAAAAAACUUUCUUUUUCUUUCAAAAAUCUGACUUUUGGGGUAAAAUUUUUUACUUUCUCUUGAUAUUUUGCGCGAAUAUGAAUUGUUUUUUUUUAAAAAAAUAUGUAUAAAAAUAAAAAUGAACGGGUAUAAAAAAGAAAAGAGAUGCGAAACUAAAAUCACAUUGGAGUGAAUCUGUUUGUUUUUUUUAAAUCUGUUUUUGUAUUAUUUAAAAGUGUUCUUACAAAAAAUCUAAAAAGGAACCCCCUAAAUUACAGAAAAAUUUGGCUUUUAUAGCCGAUUCUCCCCCCUCAUUCUUUGCUCUGUUGCUUUUCUAUUGCUUGCAGGGACUUGACGCGGUGCAUGUGGGGUGUCGGUGGCAAGUGGGGUGAUGGAACAUCCGACGGUGGCCGUGGCUGCUGGUGAUGCGACUGGUGUGCGGCGGCCAAGAGCUAGGGUUUCAGAAAAGCUGAAACCCUAGUUUGACUGUUGGGGUUGGGAUUUUGGGCCAAUUGGGUUAUUGGGCCUCGAGUUUGGGUUUGUAAUUGGGUUAAUUUAUUUUUUUUGGGUUUUAUGUUUGGGUUUAUUGAAUAUUGGGCUGAGGGUUAGUGGGUUAGGCCUAGGUGGGUUGGUUUGGGUUUUGGGCCCCGGGCUAAAAUUGGGCUUGUACAAAAUGAAUUAGGUUUAAUGGCUAAGUGUUAAAGAAUUCACCUUAGAGACUUAAGUUCGAGUUCCCUUCCUUCCUUUUUAUUUUUGGUAACUUGGUUUUAGGGUAAAGUCACACUCAAAAUAUAUACGACUAGGAAUUAAGAAUAAAUAAGAAAUGGGCAAUAGGUCCAAUGGUUAAGUGUUAAUCCCCUAUCUUAGAGAUCUUAGGUGUAAGUUUCCUUUUUCCCCUCCCAUUUUUCUUUUGGAUUUCGACAAUAAGGGGAAAUUUGCUGUGCCACCCCUAGGGUUUUCAAACCCGAGCUAUUUAAUCAUUCUUUUCCCAUUUGGAUUAGUUUUGCUUCUUUUCAAAUUCUUGUAAAAUUUCUACUCAUAUUAUAUUUCUCUUAUAUUUAUUUUCUUUUCCUUUCUUUUCAUUGUAACACCCUAAACUCGGUCGAAUAGGUUCGACCUAAAUUUGGAGAGCUACAUUAGCCACCGAAGUGACUUUCCAUUAACUCCCAAUCUAACCUCUAACACACCACUUACUUGCAACGUAUAUUAUGAUAAGUUAUAUCAUAACAAGGGUAUAAUAUAAUACAUAUAAUGUAAAUCAUGCAAGCUUAAAACCAAUGUAACACCCCAAACCCGGCUGAGUAGGUUCGACCCAAAUUUGGCGAGUUACAUUAGCCACCGAAGUGACUCUCCAUCAAUUCCCAACCUAACCUCCAACACACCACUUACUUGCAAUGUAUGUUAUGAUAAGUUAUAGCAUAACAGUGAAAUAAUAUCACAUAUAGAAUGUAAAUCAUGCAACCUUAUCAAACAAAAUGAGGGAACGGUUCGCAUGUUAAUUACUACGUAAGGCUACGUAGUAAGGUUAUCGCACCUAAGGGUUCACAAGCAUAUAGGGGGUCACAAACAAACAAAGGUCGCAGAAAAUAACACUUCGCAAAAAAAAUUGGCUCGCGUAUGAUGUUAAUACAUAUUUUGGAAAAAUUGAAAGAAUGCGACAUGGUACUCAUGCUAGGAGAAUUAAAGAAACAUCAAAGUAUAUUCAUGCAGAGAAGAAAUUAGUAAUAAAGGUUUAACUUCAUGGUUCGCAAAAUAUUAAAAGAAUAAACUUAAACUUUAGGGAAAUCGUUUCAUUAACAGAAUCAUAUAAUGAUAAAUCUAAACCUAUAUAAAUAAAACCCCAUCACCUAUUUCCCUAGGUUCGCAUUAUUUGUUCAGAGAUAGCCUCGCUAUUGCCAUUGGCGACUUACUUACCUGCAAAGUAAGAGAAGAGUGGGUGAGUUCAUUGCGAACUCGGUGAAUAAUCCGGAAUCAUCAACGUAUGAUUAAAAUACAGAGUUUAAAAUAGAAAGAAGACUUAGUAUGAAAAACUAUUGUAUCGCGUGUUGGGUUCGCAGUGAAUGCUAGGUUCGCAGUGAAUGUGCGAGACCCAGUUUAUAGAACCUGCUUGUCAUAAAAUCAUAUAAGUUUGAAAAUAGUUUUGCAUGUACUUACUGAAAAUCAUACUUAAAAACUUAGCUUGUUCUUGUUUGAAAAUGGAUCUUUUAUAGAAUGAAACAUGCUCACAUACUUAUCUUAUCGGAAUGGCUGAGGAAUAUAAAAUAUGUUCUUGCACUUUUCUUAACUUACUUAUAUUAUCUUGUCUUAUUUUGUUGGAUAUGUGGAUCUCUUUAUAACGCCUCAGAAUGACUCAAAGAGUCCUUAAGAUGUCCCAUAAGUGUAACAUAAGCUAAACACUCUCUUGUACACCAACAUGUCCUAUUGAAUGGAGCAUAGCUUGGCGUUCCCUUAUCUCUCCACAUGUCCCAAAGCCUCAAUGCCCAAAUCACAAAACUUAUUGGUGAGUACUCACAAUCCUUUGGUAUACAAAUAUAUCCAAUAUAUAAGCUCACAAAGGCACUCGUAUAGAAACUUAGCACAUAGAGCUAGAAAAAACAUAGCUUAUAGAACUGUAUUUUUAAAACAUGCUUUAAAACAUAGGCUUGCAUAGGAGCAUGCGUAACACAUAUCUUUAAAACAUAGCUUAAAACAUAUCUUGAAAACAAAUUAUCAGAACUUUUAAAAACAUAGUUUUAUAGGAAAAAAAACUUACUCUUGGAACUUAGUUUUUAAAAAAAAAAGAUUCUUAGAAAACAUAACAGUUCACACACAAGUUACGAAACCUGAGCAUUCAUACUAAAAAACAUGAUAGUUACCACACUUAUGGCAAUUCUUAACCACUCAUCGAUAAAACUGAAAAUUUAAAUGAGUUUUGCCUUGCCUUUAUCCUUGCUGUAGAUAGUCUGGUUGGUUCGUAACAUGCAUAAACACACAAAUUACUUCAAUAGACAAAACUUACGAACUUCACACAUGCAAGCGAACCUAGCUUUCUGGACAAUAAACCCUAAUAGGAAAAAUGCUUACCUUGGUUGCUACGAAUUUGGUUCAGAACAAAGACUUGACAACAAAAUAACGAUGAAAGAAUUUUUCCUAGAAUAAGGAUUGUAUUUAUAGGCACUAAGUAUCUUAGUGACCUUAGGAUACCCUAUUUGACUUAGGAACCCUCUACGGUUUAAAAGAAGGUUACGUGCACGAAAAGUAUCCUAGAUACACAAUAUAUUUAUUUCCUAAGUUUAGUCUAACUUGACUUUUGAUUGGCGAACCCCUAGUUUGUAACUCAAUUGUUGAACCCCAGCUCACUAAACAGAUUGGAGAACACAACUUUCAAUGAAUCUAGCGAACCUCUUACCACAUCAUUUGGCGUGCAGCAGUUUGCUAGAACACUGGCAAACUCCUUACUGGUAUCCCCUUUGGUGAACCCUAGUUUGCUGAAACACUAGUGAACCCUCACUUGUAAGGUCAAAACUUCUAGAUCAGGUUUCAGGAUGUUACAAACACCAUAUUUUUAUCAUAAUUGUUGUUGAUUAUUUUUCUUUCCUGAAUCAAAUCAUCUUUCAUUAAAUUAUUUUUCUAUUAGUUUUGUAAUUGUCGUCAAUAGCACCUCUAUAUUUGCCAAGAAACAAACCGAAUUUAGGUGAAUCAGACCGAAAUAAAGUGUGAAGAACAUCAACCGGAACUGUGGUGAAAGGUGUGUGUCUUUUCCAAGUGAAUCAGUGGUGAUCUGUGUACGAUUAAGGCCACAUGGGCUAUGCGUGUGGUCCACCAACUACCACACAACCAUGUGCACUUGUAGAUUUUAGGGACUUCAUGAACCAUACGGCCUCAGCCAGUUACACGAUCGUGUCUUUCCUGCAAGGUUUAUCAUUUUCCACAUGGAAUCAUGCUGUUACAUGACCGUCUAACCCUUACACAGGGUCUUACCCUUCUCACAUGGCCUGGCCAUACAGCCGUGUGACCCUGUUUUACAGUUUUGACCAAAAAUUUAUCAUAUGUUCAAUUUAGUCCUCGUUUAUCCCUUGAAUUAUUUUAGAGUUUUCAUUCACUCAAUUAAGUCCUUGAUAUUGUGUUUAUUCUAGAAUCUGUGAUUUAAUGACUAAAUUCCUAUUUUUAUAUUGUAUGAGAUGUGAAUAUUACAUGCCUACUGUCAUUGUAAUACUGAUAAACUAUUAAUGAUAAUAUUGUUACCACCCUAUUGAGUACAUGUUAAGCAUGUCUACUGCUAAUGUUGAACUGAAUACAUGAUAAGCAUGUCUAUUAUUAUUAUUUUUUGUAUUGUUCUAUUACAAAGCAUGCCAUAUUGCAUUGCAUGGGGUGGGACGAUAUGUAUGGAGAAAGGGUGACAGUUUAAUAAUCUGCAACCCAGUGGUGGCUCGUCCACAAACCCAAUGGCAGUUUAUCUGCAAAUGUUUUAACUAAAAAUACUGGUUGUUUAUCCGCAAUUUUUACAACGAAGUGGUAGUUUAUAUACAAAUCAGUGGUGAUUUAUCCACAACUCGGUGUGUAUGGAUGGAUGAGUUCUGGGGAACUCAUAGUGUGGUGUGUAGUGAAGUUGGGUAGGACCUUUUCUGAUAAACUGAAAUUGCAUUGCCAUUCAUAAACAUGUGCAUACAAACCAUGAAUUCUAAAUAUUAUAGUGAAGUGUUGAAUUGGAAAACCGAUAUUGUGAAUUGCUAUACGAUUGUGGUUAUUCUAAGAAUUGUUAUUUCGUAUGCUUUGACCACUAUGUUACACCGAUUUUCUUGUGAUAUGACUCACAUUGAGCUUAAGUUCACCCCCUUUUAAUUUCCAUCUUUAUAGAUAACCCACCAGGUUAGGACAUAGACACAACAUCUGGAAGGUCUUGGCUCAGAUAAAUUUUUUUAUUAAAAGUAUUUUAGACUUAUUAUUAUUUCUAUUAUUUGGAAUUGUAUUGUUUUAUUCAAACUUUGGCACGAGACUUAAGUUUUGAGUUUAUUUGACAUGCAUGAAAUUUAAUUUGAAUAUUAGGAUAUUGAAACAUGGAUUUUAAACUAAUUAUGCAUGAAAUUUUGGUUUCGCCAUCAUUAAAAAUAUUUUGAAUAUCAUUUUUCCGCUACGAUAUUAUGAAAAUAAGAAUUUGAAAAAAGUAAAUGAAUUGGAAAUCAACUUUUACUAAGUAAACUUUAAAAUCCAUUGUUUUUUGGAAACUUUUAUUUUUUAGUGAAAACAUGAUUACACGCAAAGUUUUUCUUCAAUAAUAAGCAAAUGUUUUAAACAACUGUUUUAUAAAAACUCCGAUAGUUGUAGUAGGCCAUUUCGGUAGCCAAUGCAAUCUUUUGAAUUCAGUCUUAACGUUUAGGCCGAGUUGAGGAAGUUACUAUUAGCAACUUAACAUUAAUUUGAACAUUAAAUGUUGGUCCAAACUUGACACGAAAUAUAUUUAGAAUACAUAAAUCAAAAAAUUAGUAAGUUGGCUACUUGGGUUAAUUUAUUGGUUUGACACAACAUAUCCUAUAGUAAUUCAAUGGGAUUAGAACAUCCCAACUCCUAGUUGAUUUAAUUGCUAGGUUAUCUAAGUCCACGCUUGCAAUUAUUGCUUAAAGCAUUUGUUUAAUAAAAUCUUAAAUUCCAAUGGAGGUGCUUUUUCAUAAUAUGAGGUAACCUAAGAAAAAGGAAAAAGUUGAACAUAUUGUUAAGUUAAAAUUGAACAAAUUAAGGCAAAGUGUACAAAUGGAGUGUCAUCAUUCAAAUCGGUCCUUCUCUUAAUUGUCAUAAGCCAAUUAGGUAAGCCAGAUUCUUUUAAUAAAAAGUAAAGAUUUCAUGGCAUCCCUAAAGCAUUGCAAAUUUUUUGUAAGCAUUAAAAUGGCAUUAGUUGGUACAAUACUGGUAUUGAUCUGUAUAUAUUGCUUCGGUUUUGAUCAGUACCAAAUAGUUUAUAUUUCGUUCAAUCAAAAUUUUGUUAUGUUUGAUUAUUUCGGUGUGUUUCGACCUAUUUUGGUCAAUAUCGGCUUGUACUAGCUAGUAUAAAAUUUGAUAUUUUAAACUAAAUUUUAAAAUUUUUUAAUCUUAAUUAUUUUAAUUUUGGCUAAAGGGUCUUCAAAGCCCUUGAACAUUAAAAUUUCAAUCAAUUAAGCCCAUCACACAUUAAAGUUAACGAUCAACCAUGAAAGAGCAACAAUAGCCAUUAUGAGCAAUUGUUUUCACCACGUGGCAUGUUAGACUGUACCACGUGACGAAAUAUGGUGUUUUAAAUUUAAAACCAUUAAAACUAUAGAAAAUCAUAAAAUAUUAAAAAAUUACAAAAGUUAUAAAAUUAUAUAAAAAUGAACAAAAUUAUAAAAAGUAGUAUAAAUGAUACAAAAAUUAUAUAAAUUAUUAAAAAAUUGCAAAAAGAAAACAUUAAAAAUAAGCUUAAAAUAAGAAUAUAUAAAAAAAUGUAAAAAAAAAAAAUUAGAAACUAAGUUUCGGAUACACAGCUCUGGCUGUAUUUUUCAUAAAUAAAAGCUUGGUUGAGAUUUUAGAUUUGGUAUAAAUACAAUAAAUAUAAUAUUUAUAGUAGUAAACAAGUGAAUGAAAUUAAGUAAUUGUGAUUGAGAUUCACCAUGAUUAUAUUUAUAGGAAUAAAAUAUUCCUAUAUAUAAUGAAAGUGUAAUUGAAUAAUAAAAUUCAUAUUAAUACAAGUUGCUUUAAAACAAAAGUAAAUAAUUUGAUAUUGAUCUUGUGAAACAAUUGAAUUUUGGUUUUGUUAUGGGAUUAAAUUAGCAAUUAAUCCUUUUUAAGAAUUUAGAGAACGAAUUAGAUAAGUUAGACAUAAAAGUAGAAGAGUAAAAAGAAAGGAAGUAGUGGGUAGAUUAACAUAAUUAGGAGUUUAAAUGAUAUGAUAAUAAUUAAAGCUUUAAUUUAGUUAAGGUAAUUAGAAAUGUUUGAUCAUAUUUUAGAUGUUAAUUGAAAUUAAACGAGUUAAUAGGUCGAAUACAAGUUUAUAUUUUAGUUAAGAUAAUUAAGAGUUUAACUAGAAUUAAAAAAAAAUAAGAAGCACAUUGAAUCGUCGAUGAAUUGAUUUGAUUCUAAAUCCAAACUCAAGAGAGUAGGAACAUAAUCCAUUGGAAACAACACUUUUAAGUUGUUUAAAUUUUUGAGAAAGAAAAACACUUUCAACCUUUUUUUUAAUCCCCACUCUAUCCACCAACCUACUCGUUGCUUUAUAAGUCAAAAUCGGGAAAUUAAAUAUUACACUAUUACUAAUUCGGUUAAAUUGGUUAAUUCGGUCAAAUGAAUAUUAUCGAUUUUUUGAUAUGUUUUUUUACUUGUUUUAACCAAAAAAAUAAAACAUAUAAAUUUCGGUUAAUUUGAUUAACCGGCCGAAUUAAUCGAAAUAUUUCGAUUUGGUUAAUGGUUAAAGAUACUAAUUCGAUUCGGUUAACUGAUCGGUUAAUUGUUUGAGCACCCCUAAAAAUAAGUCAUGGGACCAACAUACUGACUUCCAUACAAUUGUUAGGUAUAUAUAGCAACUCAUAAGUAUGAGUAGAAUUAGUACGCAGUACCUUAGAUUCAUUGAGCCACAUUUCAAAGUUUCCCAUGAUCUCUUUUGCUGUCAAUGAUAUAAUAAACUUUUUGUAUUCACAAUUAUGUUCACAAUAUAAAACAUAAUUGGUCGACUUGAAUACAAUUAAAUGAGACACUCUAAUGUUCUUUCCUUUUCCUCAAAUCUCUCUAUUUCAAUUCAACUACUCUCUAGAUAUGUCCCGUUAGAUUGAAUCAUACAUGAUCAUCGAUAGCCUACUAAAAUAGCUAAUAUUGAUGUAAAACUUCAAGAAACAGUUAAAGGUCAUGAGGGUACUUAGUAUAGAUCUUCAGUUGAUCUCAUGGGUUUCACACAACAUAGAAGCAGAGAUCAAAUCUUCUAUUACCCAUUUUGUUCGUAUAAUACACAUGUAGUAUGAAACACAUGCUAUGGUAUUACUCUCACUUUCCUUGAAGUGUAUGUCUUUAUCAAAAAAUCAAUACCACAUAGGUGAUAAUUCAAAUACACUUAGUAUCUAACUCGAGUCCACAACUUUAUUUUCUUAAUAGAUUCAACAACAAGACUUUCACCUGGAAUAAAAGACAUAUAAAGUGAAAAAUUCAUAUUUAAAUUAUCAAACAUAAAUCAAAUUGAUUAUAAUUAUAUCAUUUUGCAUAUAGCUCAUGUCGUGCAAGUGCACACUUUAGCCCCAACAAGUUUGGACCUAUGCCCUUCAUGCAUGCAAGGCAAGAUUCCAAACAUAAUCAUUCAAUCAUCAUUUAUGUGGGUUCUCAUAUAUAUACACAUCUCACACUUGGUAUUUAACCAAUGUGGGAUCUAAGCUUUUCUUUUCCUCAACAAAUAUUCACAAGUAGCUUACUUUGAGCACCAAUUUCUCAUUCAUCACUCAACCAUUUUGAGCAUAUGAUAUACUGUUGUAAAGGUCUCAUGGAGUAGAAUAUAAAAUCAUAAUUUUAUGAUUCAACUCUCAACAUUUACCAAUUAAAAAUAUGCCUCAAAGUUCCCAUAAAUUACAAAUUUUCCAACAACUUUUGAAUGCAUUAAUCAUUAUCAACAUUAACUCAAGUGAGGACAAGAAUAUAUUAUUCAACUUGCAAUCCUAGAGUUUUGACAUUCCUUUAAAAAAUCUCUAGGAAUCGGUUUUGUAAACUGAUUUGCAAUCCUCUUAUGCAUAGACUUUCUCUCUUGUUGUGAGAUUUACCUUCACACUUAUUUUUUCCAAUAUACUAACUUUAGAUAUUUGGAGUUUGGAGUUGGUCAAACAGAUGUAAAAGCUACCUUUUCCAAAUGAAAAUCUGGAAUUUACACAGACAAAGUAGAUUUCAUUGACAAAGGUGAAAUGCAUAGUCUGGGCAAGUUAUGAAGAUCAAUUUUAUGAUCUUAAGCGAUUUUCCAGAUAGUGAUAUGCUAUUUUUUUUAAUUAAGAAACUGUUUAGUUUGAUUUAAUCAUAAUUGAUAAAGACCACUUUACUCAUGUUAAAAGAAGGAAAGAAAAUUUUGUAACUAUGUCAUUUUAUGUGGGUGACAUGUUGUUGGCCGCAAAUGAAUUAGUGCUUAUCAUUAUGGGUUAUGCAAGACUACAUGUCAAUUCAUACGAAUGUGUCCUUUUUUCAAUGUUGUGAGUAGCAUCAUAUAUGUUAUGAUGUACAUAAAGCAAAGUAUCUCUUGUAUAGUUGGAUUCAAGACACUCCAAUCCAAACUCAUUGCAAAACAAUGAAAAUGAUAUUGAGGUAUUGAAAAGACACUAUGGAUUUUCACCAUGCUAUCUAAUUGUGAAUACAAAUACCUAUUAAUUAAAAGGAGAUUUAGAUGAAAUAUUGAAAUCUAUCUCCACACAUGUGUUCGUAUUUGAUAAUGGAGUGAACUCUUAAAGUAGUAAGAAAUAAACUUGUAUAGCAUGGUCUAUUAUUGAUGCUGAAAUUGGCAUUUUUAGCGAUGGUUCAAGAGAGUGUUUGGGUUAAAAUAAUCACGAUUAAUAUAGUUACGUUAAAGCAAAAUAUCUUCUAUAGUUGGAUUCAACAUAGUCCAAUCCAAACUUAUUGCAAAACAAUGAAAAUGAUUUUGAGGUCUUUUAUUGUUCUCUCUUGUAUAGUUUGCAUCUCAAGGCACUUUCUUGUUGAUUACGAUGAACAAAAAACGGUUGCAAGCUCUGGGACGAGCAAGAUCAAUAUCUUUAGAGAUCAAAUGAUGGUUAGUAUACAAAUUUAAAAACUAGUUUUUAUAAUUUCAUUUUCAUAUAGUUUUUAUUUAUUUUUUAUUAUAAAUUUUAUGCUUUUUAUAAUAUUUUAUAUGUUUUAGUAUUUUUACAAUAUUUUAAUAACUUUCUAUCUUUUUAAAUAUUUAUUACCAUUUUUAUUUUUAAUUCAAAUAAUUUAUUUUUUUCCAAUUUUCUAUAUUUUAUAAUAUUUUUAAUAAUAUUUUAUAUAUUUAAAUAUUUUUUCAUAAUUUUAAUUUUUUUAAAUUUUUCAUAAUUUAUAUGUUUUUUUAAUUUUUAUUUUAGUACUUUUUAAUGCUUUUCACAAUUUUUAAUAAUUUUUAUAAUUUAUAUUUUUUUUUCGUUUAUAAUCAUUUUUAUAAUUUAUAUAUAUAUCUGCAAUUUUAUAUAUUUUAUAAUUUUUGCAAUUUUUAUAUUUUAUAAAAUAAUUUUGUAAUACUCCAAACUCGGCCUUAACGUUAUGACCAAAUCUAGAGAUGCUAUGAAGAUACAUUAAAAAAAAUCUAGAAUCUGUUGAUUUUAUAAAAUGAUACUUGCCCUUAUUUAGUAAAAUCUGAGUUUAUUUGAGAAAUUUAUCGUUUUGAUGGGUUUGUCAAUUAUUUACUCAUAAAACUAGUCGAAUCCAAUUUGAAAACACGAUUUUUUUUGUUGUUGUAAAAUCCAUUAUUCAACAAUUCAAUUUUCAACCCACCAACGAGGAAAUCACACAGGACUUCCUGCUAACCUACCAUCUUUUUUCAAGAGUUCAAACCCAAUCCAACACCACCAACUCGACAGCACAUUAAGGGCUAACAAAAAUAAAUUAGAGACUCAAACGAUAAAUUAACAUCUUAUCGUUGAACUAGUAAACUCAUUCUAUCACAAAUUGAUCAAAAAUAGUAUUUAAGUGGUAAGGAACAAGAUAAGGAUAAAAGACAAAAAUAAUAAAAUUUCUUAAAAAUGAGAUUUGAACCCUAAUCAGUAAAACAAAUACUUAUUCAUGACAUAAAUUAACAAAUUAAAAAUUCAUAUUUUUGGGUCUUAAAAGUUUUUAAUAAAUUAUAAUUACUUGAUUCCAGUUUCUUUAUUAUGCCCAAAUUUAAGAUUAAGCCCUAUAUUUUAAUUUUGACAUAAUUUGAUUUAUUUAUUUUUAUAAUGUCAUUAGUUAUCUUAAAUCGCUAACAUUAUUAGCUAUGCCAAGUAAAAUAACAUCGCGUAUUUUUUUUCUUAAAAUCAUCACUUCUAACUAAAUAAUGGCUUAAUCACUUUUUUAACUAAUUAUACUAACAUAGAUUUUUUUUAGUUGGAACGAGUAUGUUUAAGGAAAAAUCACCUCAACACUUUACUUGAAAUUAGUAAUCACAUUAAUUAUUUGGACUAACUAAAUCAUUACUGAAUCACCUUCUAACUAAUUAUAGUAAUGUAUAUAUUUAAGAAAAAGCUCACUUUAAUGUUUUAACUGAAAUUAUUAACCGUGUUAAUUACUUAAACUAACUAAUGAAAAAUAUUUCAAAUUAAUUUAUACUGAAUAACUCUCAAAUCCAAGUAUAAUAAAAUAAUAUGACUAACUCAAACUUGGCGUUGAAUUGAGUUUGGGAGUAAAAUAAUCACAUCACUCAUUGGCAAAGCAUGACUGUGAUUAUGAUAUGGUUUUUCGAAGUAUAACUAUGGUGGAGUUGAUAGCAUUGAUUAGAAUACCUUUAUAAAUGAAUAUAUAACAUUUAAUCAUGUAUAUAUUUUUAAUAAUUUAAUAACUUAAAAAAACACCACACUUUAUUAUAUAUGUAAAAUGUAAAUAGAAGCUACAUUCUUAUUUCAUGAAAUAACAUCAUAGAGAAUGUGAUGGCAGAGUUCAUUCUCAGUAAUAUAUGUGAUACUAAUUAGGAAUCAAACUGUCUUCAAUGGCUGGAUGGAGGUGGAGGUGGAGGUGGAGACAUGAAAGGAAUGGAAGGCAAGCUGCUACUGGGAAGUGGUGGAAGAACAGUGAUAGGCUUAGGCUAAGAUGGUGGGAUUGUUGGUAGCUUCGGGAUUCAAGGCAAUGGAGGUAUGCAGGGUUGAGCUGAGAAUGAUGGUAGAUCUAGGAUUGAAGGCAAUGGAAGUAUGUUGGGCAACUUACGAAGUGGUGGUAGUUCUAAGUUCUGGGAUUGAAGGAAAUGGUGGUGGUUCUGGGAUUAAAGGAAGUGGUGACAUCGGAGGUGGCAAUGGUACCGGUAAAUAUGCAGAUGGCAAUGGUACUGGUAAAAAUGGAGGUGGCAAUGGUAUUGGCGACAAUGGAGGUAGCAAUGGUACUGGUGACAAUGGUAUUGGCGACAAUGGAGGUGGCAAUGGUAUUGGUGGAAAUGGAGGUGGCACUUGCUGAAGAUUUCGGGUUGCUAGGCUAACCUCCAUGCUUGAAAAACCCAAGGAAAUGAAGCAGGCUAAUAAAAUGAAAACGUUGGAAGCUGCCAUUUUUUUUUGGAGAGAUGAACUAAAGAUUGAAGAUUUGAGUUGAGGAAAGCAGGAUUGGUUUCGGGUAUUUAUAGCCACAUUUGAAGGAGUUUUUUAAUUAUUUGUUUGAGAUAUUACUCCCCUACUUAGCUUACUACCUUC